GCUUUAAAUUUUCUAUUUUUAAACCAAAAUUACUUUUUUACCUUUGUUUAUCUAGGAAGAGAAAGUUAAUAAGCUCUAAUUUUAAUAAAUAAAAAUAAAAUUUUCAACUCGCAAUCCUCAGGAUUUAUAGGAGAAAAUUAAAUAAAUAAGACCUAAUUUUAUUAAGAACAGUAAAAAAUAGAAUAAAUUCAAGC
rnacentral:rRNA from 1 species